GACGAACGCUGGCGGCGUGCUUAACACAUGCAAGUCGAACGGAAAGGCCCUGCGUGUGUGGGGUGCUCGAGUGGCGAACGGGGGAGUAACAGGUGUGUAACCUGCCCUUGACUUUGGGAGAACUUCAGGAAACUGGGGCUAAUCUCGGAUAGGAGCUCCUGCUGCAUGGUGGGGGGUGGAAAGUUUCGGCGGGUGGGGCUGGACUCGCGGCUUAUCAGCUUGUUGGUGGGGUAGUGGCUUACCAAGGCUGUGACGGGUAGGCGGCCUGAGAGGGUGGCCGGCCACCUUGGUCCUGCGAUACGGCCCAGACGCCUACGGGAGGCAGCAGUGGGGAGCAUUGCCCAGUCGGCGGGAGCCUGAUGCAGCAGCGCCCCGUGCGGGAUGCCGGCCUUCGGGUUGUAAACCGCUUUCGCCUGUGACGACGCGUGAGUGACGGUACUGGGUAAAGAAGCACCGGCUAACUUCGUG
rnacentral:rRNA from 1 species